GAUGAACGCUGGCGGCGUGCCUAACACAUGCAAGUCGAGCGAAGCACUUUGCUUAGAUUCUUCGGAUGAAGAGGAUUGUGACUGAGCGGCGGACGGGUGAGUAACGCGUGGGUAACCUGCCUCAUACAGGGGGAUAACAGUUAGACAUGACUGCUAAUACCGCAUAAGACCACAGCACCGCAUGGUGCGGGGGUAAAAACUCCGGUGGUAUGAGAUGGACCCGCGUCUGAUUAGCUAGUUGGUAAGGUAACGGCUUACCAAGGCGACGAUCAGUAGCCGACCUGAGAGGGUGACCGGCCACAUUGGGACUGAGACACGGCCCAAACUCCUACGGGAGGCAGCAGUGGGGAAUAUUGCACAAUGGGGGAAACCCUGAUGCAGCGACGCCGCGUGAGCGAAGAAGUAUUUCGGUAUGUAAAGCUCUAUCAGCAGGGAAGAAAAUGACGGUACCUGACUAAGAAGCACCGGCUAAAUACGUGCCAGCAGCCGCGGUAAUACGUAUGGUGCAAGCGUUAUCCGGAUUUACUGGGUGUAAAGGGAGCGUAGACGGAUGGGCAAGUCUGAUGUGAAAACCCGGGGCUCAACCCCGGGACUGCAUUGGAAACUGUUCAUCUAGAGUGCUGGAGAGGUAAGUGGAAUUCCUAGUGUAGCGGUGAAAUGCGUAGAUAUUAGGAGGAACACCAGUGGCGAAGGCGGCUUACUGGACAGUAACUGACGUUGAGGCUCGAAAGCGUGGGGAGCAACAG
rnacentral:rRNA from 1 species